rnacentral:rRNA from 1 species
GGUCAAGCUACAAAGGGCGCAUGGUGAAUGCCUUGGCAUCAGGAGCCGAUGAAGGACGUGAUAAGCUGCGAUAAGCUUCGGGUAGGCGCACAUAGCCAGAGAUCCGGAGAUUUCCGAAUGAGGGAACUCACAUGGGAAACCCCAUGUAUCAUAAAGUGAAUACAUAGCUUUAUGAAGGUAAACCUAGGGAACUGAAACAUCUAAGUACCUAGAGGAAGAGAAAGAAAAAUCGAUUUUCUUAGUAGCGGCGAGCGAAAAGGAAAGAGCCCAAACCAGAGAUUUAUCUCU